rnacentral:rRNA from 1 species
AGUGAACGCUGGCGGCAGGCCUAACACAUGCAAGUCGAACGGCAGCACAGUAAGAGCUUGCUCUUACGGGUGGCGGGUGGCGGACGGGUGACAAAUACAUAGGAAUCUUAUUUUUCGUGGGGGAUAACGUAGGGAAACUUAUACUAAUACCGAAUAAGACCUACGGGUGGAAGCAGGGGAUCUUCGGACCUUUCGCGAUUGAAUGAGCCGAUGUCGGAUUAGCUAGUUGGCGGGGUAAAGGCCCACCAAGGCGACGAUCCGUAGCUGGUCUGAGAGGAUGAUCAGCCACACUGGAACUGAGACACGGUCCAGACUCCUACGGGAGGCAGCAGUGGGGAAUAUUGGACAAUGGGCGCAAGCCUGAUCCAGCAAUGCCGCGUGUGUGAAGAAGGCCUUCGGGUUGUAAAGCCCUUUUGUUAGGAAAGAAAAGCUGCAGGUUAAUACGCCGCUGUUCUGACGGUACCCAAAGAAUAAGCACCGGCUAACUACGUG